rnacentral:rRNA from 1 species
GAUGAACGCUGGCGGCGUGCCUAAUACAUGCAAGUCGAGCGAACGGACGAGAAGCUUGCUUUUCUGAUGUUAGCGGCGGACGGGUGAGUAACACGUGGAUAACCUACCUAUAAGACUGGGAUAACUUCGGGAAACCGGAGCUAAUACCGGAUAAUAUUUUGAACCGCAUGGUUCAAAAGUGAAAGACGGUCCUGCUGUCACUUAUAGAUGGAUCCGCGCUGCAUUAGCUAGUUGGUAAGGUAACGGCUUACCAAGGCAACGAUGCAUAGCCGACCUGAGAGGGUGAUCGGCCACACUGGAACUGAGACACGGUCCAGACUCCUACGGGAGGCAGCAGUAGGGAAUCUUCCGCAAUGGGCGAAAGCCUGACGGAGCAACGCCGCGUGAGUGAUGAAGGUCUUCGGAUCGUAAAACUCUGUUAUUAGGGAAGAACAUAUGUGUAAGUAACUGUGCACAUCUUGACGGUACCUAAUCAGAAAGCCGCGGCUAACUACGUG